AAACUUGCCCCGAGAUGAGUUCUCCCUGACUCCUUGAGAGUCCUGAAGGAACGUUGAAGACGACGACGUUGAUAGGCCGGGUGUGUAAGCGCAGCGAUGCGUUGAGCUAACCGGUACUAAUGAACCGUGAGGCUUAACCUUACAACGCCGAAGGUGUUU
rnacentral:rRNA from 1 species